GAUGAACGCUGACAGAAUGCUUUAACACAUGCAAGUCAACUUGAAUUUGGGUCUUUAACUUAGAUUUGGGUGGCGGACGGGUGAGUAACGCGUAAAGAACUUGCCUCACAGCUAGGGACAACAUUUAGAAAUGAAUGCUAAUACCUGAUAUUAUGGUUAUAGGGCAUCCUAUAAUUAUGAAAGCUAUAAGCACUGUGAGAGAGCUUUGCGUCCCAUUAGCUAGUUGGAGAGGUAACAGCUCACCAAGGCAAUGAUGGGUAGCCGGCCUGAGAGGGUGAACGGCCACAAGGGGACUGAGACACGGCCCUUACUCCUACGGGAGGCAGCAGUGGGGAAUAUUGGACAAUGGACCGAGAGUCUGAUCCAGCAAUUCUGUGUGCACGAUGAAGUUUUUCGGAAUGUAAAGUGCUUUCAGUUGGGAAGAAAAAAAUGACGGUACCAACAGAAGAAGUGACGGCUAAAUACGUGCCAGCAGCCGCGGUAAUACGUAUGUCACGAGCGUUAUCCGGAUUUAUUGGGCGUAAAGCGCGUCUAGGUGGUUAUGUAAGUCUGAUGUGAAAAUGCAGGGCUCAACUCUGUAUUGCGUUGGAAACUGUAUAACUAGAGUACUGGAGAGGUAAGCGGAACUACAAGUGUAGAGGUGAAAUUCGUAGAUAUUUGUAGGAAUGCCGAUGGGGAAGCCAGCUUACUGGACAGAUACUGACGCUAAAGCGCGAAAGCGUGGGUAGCAAACAGG
rnacentral:rRNA from 1 species